rnacentral:rRNA from 1 species
UACGUAGGGUGCGAGCGUUAAUCGGAAUACUGGGCGUAAAGCGUGCGCAGGCGGUGAUGUAAGACAGAUGUGAAAUCCCCGGGCUCAACCUGGGACCUGCAUUUGUGACUGCAUCGCUGGAGUGCGGCAGAGGGGGAUGGAAUUCCGCGUGUAGCAGUGAAAUGCGUAGAUAUGCGGAGGAACACCGAUGGCGAAGGCAAUCCCCUGGGCCUGCACUGACGCUCAUGCACGAAGCGUGGGAGCGA